rnacentral:rRNA from 1 species
GUCUAUGGCCAUACCUCCCUGAACUAGCCUGAUCUUAUUUGAUCUCAGAAUCUCAGCAGAGUUGGGCCUGGUUAGUACUUAGCUGGGAGAAAUGCAAAUUGGUCUCCCUUGGAA